rnacentral:rRNA from 1 species
GCUAGUAAUGGCAGGUCAGCAUACUGCCGUGAAUACGUUCCCGGGCCUUGUACACACCGCCCGUCACACCAUGAGAGUUGGAGAUACCCGAAGCCUGUGAGCUAACAAACGAGGCAGCAGUCGAAGGUAGAAUCAAUGAUUGGGGUGAAGUCGUAACAAGGUAGC